AACGAACGCUGGCGGCAUGCCUAACACAUGCAAGUCGAACGGGACCUUCGGGUCUAGUGGCGCACGGGUGCGUAACGCGUGGGAAUCUACCCUUGGGUUCGGAAUAACAGUUAGAAAUGACUGCUAAUACCGGAUGAUGUCUUCGGACCAAAGAUUUAUCGCCCAUGGAUGAGCCCGCGUAGGAUUAGCUAGUUGGUGAGGUAAAGGCUCACCAAGGCGACGAUCCUUAGCUGGUCUGAGAGGAUGAUAAGCCACACUGGGACUGAGACACGGCCCAGACUCCUACGGGAGGCAGCAGUGGGGAAUAUUGGACAAUGGGCGAAAGCCUGAUCCAGCAAUGCCGCGUGAGUGAUGAAGGCCUUAGGGUUGUAAAGCUCUUUUGCCAGGGAUGAUAAUGACAGUACCUGGAGAAUAAGCUCCGGCUAACUCCGUGCCAGCAGCCGCCGUAAUAC
rnacentral:rRNA from 1 species